AGGGCCAGUCAGGGGUGCCCAGCCAGAUUGGUGUGCCCUUUGCCUCCACCCCACAUGAGGCCAGGAAAGAGCCAGAGCACAUGUCCGGGUCCUGGAAGCAGGCAGCUGCCUUUUUGGCUUGUUUUGAAGCAAUCAGAACUUAAUCGCUUGUGACCCUGAAGGAGAACUUCACCCAUGGAAAGCAACUGUCCCAGAAACUUGGUGUGUGCGCACAGGAAUCCAGAUGUUCCUCUUAGGAGAGCAGAGGAGACCCCCAAUGUCCCUAACCAGCUCUGCAUACACAGGGACAGGUCAGUCAUCAUCCGCAGUUUUACCUGGAGUCUUCACGGACCGCUUCUUCUGGCCUGUCAAAAAGCAAGUGCAGGUUUGGAUGGCAGGGAACAAAGUUGACGAGGAGGCUGAACACUGCAUGAAGAGAGGACCAAGCCAAUGAGAGAACAACGGCAGCAACAGAAAACCAAACAAACCCUGCCACAGACCUGAUGGGGGAUGAGUCGCUGGACGUGGAUGAGGAUAUCAUGCAAAGAGCAAGGAAGUCAAGCCAGUUGGGCGAGCAGGGCUGCAAGGAGCGCUGGUCAUCAGGACGACAAGAGUGGGUCUGAGCAAAUGAUACAGAAAUAAACAACUGAAAAUCACAGACUCCAUCAUGGUGUGUACUCAUCACUUUACAGAUGACACUGUGUAUAUGCCUUUAGGAACUUGCAAAUUGUGAUUUCAACUUAACAAGUAGAAAAAAAAAAAAGAAGAAGAAGAAGAAGAAGCUCAUAUGCCCCUGAACCUCUUUCUGUGUUCUUUUGUGACUUACAAGUAUGUUUCUGUAUUCAUACAGAUUCUUUCUCCUUACCCAUUAUAUUUUAUAUACAUUUAAAUUCUGAUAAUUGCAGAAUGAUUCCUUGUUUUAAUGAUGCUGGCUGAC
rnacentral:lncRNA from 1 species